rnacentral:lncRNA from 1 species
CUUGUCUAAUUUACAGUUCCUGCAUCGAUAUUUCAUCCUUUUUUUUAUUGCUUUUUUUAGAAGUUACAGUUUACCAUGCAUCCAUGCAGUUAUAUAUCUAUAAUAAUAUAUGAUCUAUUCAGGUCGAUCUACCCCCGGUAUCCACGUGCUCCGAUGGGAUCAUAUUCUGAGGCUAUCAAAUCACAAACCCCACAUGCUUCCUGUCUUGUGAAUCUCACCAGAUUAAUCGAUCCGACUUCCUACGUCGUGUGAUGUUAAUACGUAUUUACAGAUUACAAUACGACAGCACAACUGUAAUAAUCCAAACAUUAGCAAUCACUCGAUUUUAUCAUAAUUAGGAUUAAAAAAAAAACAUGUUUGUAGAUGUUCUUGUAUGUAAUGUAAGAUCAUUCCUGGUUUUCAUGCAUAUGUGUUCUUGUUCAUAUCUGCAUCUCGAAAACAGGCAAGGAAUUUUCUGACAGUUUGUCGCAAAUAAAACAAUGGUUUUAGUCUUUUAGAGCCUUUAAAGGGUUGGUUAUUGUAUCAAUUUACUGCAAAUACAUACAUGCACGCUAUUUAUUUAAAUAUAAAUAUAGAUACGAGUUUACAGCUGCUGCAAGGUUUAGUCAAAUUUGGCAGGGUACGUGAUGAAGUUUAUUGCAAGCUGCUUGUGGCGAUCGACAAUGGCGGUGUGCAUGGAAAGACGAUGAACAAGUGAACAACCACAGCUAGCCAGUCGUCGCAAGACCAGUCAAACCGACAACCGCGCUAGAAGAUGUCCGUGUGGAUACCCACUACACGUGUGUGGGUGAUCACCGGAUUUUAAGGUUUUCUUGUUCCUUCCAAAUUCCAUCUCCUCAACCAUUUUUAUCAAUCAAUACGUACACACUGAGAUUCAAUUUUAAUUUGCGCGUGCACACAAAUUAAUCUCACAACCUAGCUACUAAUUUCAUCAGGAAUCAUAAAUUUCAAUCAAUCAAAGACUAAUUCAU